GUGCUCACUUUGGCAGCGCAUGUACUAAAAUUAGAAUGAUACAGAGAAGAUUAGCAUGGCCCCUGUGCAAGGAUGUCACACAAAUUCAUGAAGCAUUCCAUAUUUUU
rnacentral:snRNA from 1 species